ACAGGCUUAACACAUGCAAGUCGAGGGGCAGCAUUUCAGUUUGCUUGCAAACUGGAGAUGGCGACCGGCGCACGGGUGAGUAACACGUAUCCAACCUGCCGAUAACUCGGGGAUAGCCUUUCGAAAGAAAGAUUAAUACCCGAUGGUAUAAUCAGACCGCAUGGUCUUGUUAUUAAAGAAUUUCGGUUAUCGAUGGGGAUGCGUUCCAUUAGGCAGUUGGUGAGGUAACGGCUCACCAAACCUUCGAUGGAUAGGGGUUCUGAGAGGAAGGUCCCCCACAUUGGAACUGAGACACGGUCCAAACUCCUACGGGAGGCAGCAGUGAGGAAUAUUGGUCAAUGGGCGCAGGCCUGAACCAGCCAAGUAGCGUGAAGGAUGACUGCCCUAUGGGUUGUAAACUUCUUUUAUAUGGGAAUAAAGUUUUCCACGUGUGGAAUUUUGUAUGUACCAUAUGAAUAAGGAUCGGCUAACUCCGUGCCAGCAGCCGCGGUAAUACGGAGGAUCCGAGCGUUAUCCGGAUUUAUUGGGUUUAAAGGGAGCGUAGGUGGACAGUUAAGUCAGUUGUGAAAGUUUGCGGCUCAACCGUAAAAUUGCAGUUGAUACUGGCUGUCUUGAGUACAGUAGAGGUGGGCGGAAUUCGUGGUGUAGCGGUGAAAUGCUUAGAUAUCACGAAGAACUCCGAUUGCGAAGGCAGCUCACUGGACUGCAACUGACACUGAUGCUCGAAAGUGUGGGUAUCAAACAGGAUUAGAUACCCUGGUAGUCCACACAGUAAACGAUGAAUACUCGCUGUUUGCGAUAUACAGUAAGCGGCCAAGCGAAAGCAUUAAGUAUUCCACCUGGGGAGUACGCCGGCAACGGUGAAACUCAAAGGAAUUGACGGGGGCCCGCACAAGCGGAGGAACAUGUGGUUUAAUUCGAUGAUACGCGAGGAACCUUACCCGGGCUUAAAUUGCAUUUGAAUAUAUUGGAAACAGUAUAGCCGUAAGGCAAAUGUGAAGGUGCUGCAUGGUUGUCGUCAGCUCGUGCCGUGAGGUGUCGGCUUAAGUGCCAUAACGAGCGCAACCCUUAUCUUUAGUUACUAACAGGUCAUGCUGAGGACUCUAGAGAGACUGCCGUCGUAAGAUGUGAGGAAGGUGGGGAUGACGUCAAAUCAGCACGGCCCUUACGUCCGGGGCUACACACGUGUUACAAUGGGGGGUACAGAAGGCAGCUACCUGGUGACAGGAUGCUAAUCCCAAAAGCCUCUCUCAGUUCGGAUCGAAGUCUGCAACCCGACUUCGUGAAGCUGGAUUCGCUAGUAAUCGCGCAUCAGCCAUGGCGCGGUGAAUACGUUCCCGGGCCUUGUACACACCGCCCGUCAAGCCAUGAAAGCCGGGGGUACCUGAAGUACGUAACCGCAAGGAGCGUCCUAGGGUAAAACUGGUAAUUGGGGCUAAGAC
rnacentral:rRNA from 1 species